AGAGUUUGAUCCUGGCUCAGGAUGAACGCUAGCUACAGGCUUAACACAUGCAAGUCGAGGGGCAGCAUGGUCUUAGCUUGCUAAGGCCGAUGGCGACCGGCGCACGGGUGAGUAACACGUAUCCAACCUGCCGUCUACUCUUGGACAGCCUUCUGAAAGGAAGAUUAAUACAAGAUGGCAUCAUGAGUCCGCAUGUUCACAUGAUUAAAGGUAUUCCGGUAGACGAUGGGGAUGCGUUCCAUUAGAUAGUAGGCGGGGUAACGGCCCACCUAGUCUUCGAUGGAUAGGGGUUCUGAGAGGAAGGUCCCCCACAUUGGAACUGAGACACGGUCCAAACUCCUACGGGAGGCAGCAGUGAGGAAUAUUGGUCAAUGGGCGCAGGCCUGAACCAGCCAAGUAGCGUGAAGGAUGACUGCCCUAUGGGUUGUAAACUUCUUUUAUAAAGGAAUAAAGUCGGGUAUGUAUACCCGUUUGCAUGUACUUUAUGAAUAAGGAUCGGCUAACUCCGUGCCAGCAGCCGCGGUAAUACGGAGGAUCCGAGCGUUAUCCGGAUUUAUUGGGUUUAAAGGGAGCGUAGAUGGAUGUUUAAGUCAGUUGUGAAAGUUUGCGGCUCAACCGUAAAAUUGCAGUUGAUACUGGAUAUCUUGAGUGCAGUUGAGGCAGGCGGAAUUCGUGGUGUAGCGGUGAAAUGCUUAGAUAUCACGAAGAACUCCGAUUGCGAAGGCAGCCUGCUAAGCUGCAACUGACAUUGAGGCUCGAAAGUGUGGGUAUCAAACAGGAUUAGAUACCCUGGUAGUCCACACGGUAAACGAUGAAUACUCGCUGUUUGCGAUAUACAGCAAGCGGCCAAGCGAAAGCGUUAAGUAUUCCACCUGGGGAGUACGCCGGCAACGGUGAAACUCAAAGGAAUUGACGGGGGCCCGCACAAGCGGAGGAACAUGUGGUUUAAUUCGAUGAUACGCGAGGAACCUUACCCGGGCUUAAAUUGCAGAUGAAUUACGGUGAAAGCCGUAAGCCGCAAGGCAUCUGUGAAGGUGCUGCAUUGACGGGGGCCCGCACAAGCGGAGGAACAUGUGGUUUAAUUCGAUGAUACGCGAGGAACCUUACCCGGGCUUAAAUUGCAGAUGAAUUACGGUGAAAGCCGUAAGCCGCAAGGCAUCUGUGAAGGUGCUGCAUGGUUGUCGUCAGCUCGUGCCGUGAGGUGUCGGCUUAAGUGCCGUAACGAGCGCAACCCUUGUUGUCAGUUACUAACAGGUUCCGCUGAGGACUCUGACAAGACUGCCAUCGUAAGAUGUGAGGAAGGUGGGGAUGACGUCAAAUCAGCACGGCCCUUACGUCCGGGGCUACACACGUGUUACAAUGGGGGGUACAGAGGGCCGCUACCACGCGAGUGGAUGCCAAUCCCAAAAACCUCUCUCAGUUCGGACUGGAGUCUGCAACCCGACUCCACGAAGCUGGAUUCGCUAGUAAUCGCGCAACAGCCACGGCGCGGUGAAUACGUUCCCGGGCCUUGUACACACCGCCCGUCAAGCCAUGGGAGCCGGGGGUACCUGAAGUGCGUAACCGCGAGGAGCGCCCUAGGGUAAAACUGGUGACUGGGGCUAAGUCGUAACAAGGUAGCCGUACCGGAAGGUGCGGCUG
rnacentral:rRNA from 1 species